rnacentral:rRNA from 1 species
UACGUAGGGUGCAAGCGUUAUCCGGAAUUAUUGGGCGUAAAGAGCUCGUAGGCGGUUUGUCGCGUCUGCUGUGAAAACUGGAGGCUCAACCUCCAGCCUGCAGUGGGUACGGGCAAACUAGAGUGCGGUAGGGGAGAUUGGAAUUCCUGGUGUAGCGGUGGAAUGCGCAGAUAUCAGGAGGAACACCGAUGGCGAAGGCAGAUCUCUGGGCCGUAACUGACGCUGAGGUGCGAAAGCGUGGGGAGCAAACAGG